GUCAGCAUGGCCGAGUGGUUAAGGCGGUAGAUUCGAAAUCUACUGGGCUCGUUCCCGCGCAGGUUCAAAUCCUGCUGCUGACG
rnacentral:tRNA from 2 species